rnacentral:rRNA from 1 species
UACAGAGGGUGCGAGCGUUGUUCGGAAUUACUGGCGUAAAGCGCGCGUAGGUGGUGUGUUAAGUCUGCCGGUCAAAUGCCGAGGCUCAACCUCGUUGCACGCCGGGGAUACUGGCACGCUAGAGACAAGUAGAGGCAAGCGGAAUUCCGGGUGUAGCGGUGGAAUGCGUAGAGAUCCGGAAGAACACCGGAGGCGAAGGCGGCUUGCUGGGCUUGGUCUGACGCUGAGGCGCGAAAGCGUGGGGAGCGAACAGG